rnacentral:pre_miRNA from 1 species
CAAACUGCCUCUUCUCCUGGAAUGAAAGCCUCGCCAAUCUGUCAUUGUUACUAAGCUAGGUCGGUGGGACUUUCGUUCGAUUAGAAGAUGGUAGAUACUA